UCUAAAUUGGUCAACAUGUUGGUCAUUAUUGAGAGAAUGUUGAAGAGUUCAAGGGGCACUGUUCUUACUAUAGAAUAGACUUCUUCAUCCAAAAGAAGAUCUGGUUGGAAGAAGAAGAGUAAACCCAUGAAGAAGCAGAAGAAAGAGAGUAAGCCAAAAAAGGAUAUUCCAAAGAAGACUGAAGCAAAGAAAAAAUAUUUCCAUCAUGAUACUGAAGGC
rnacentral:lncRNA from 1 species